GAUGAACGCUGGCGGCGUGCCUAAUACAUGCAAGUCGAGCGAAUGGAUUAAGAGCUUGCUCUUAUGAAGUUAGCGGCGGACGGGUGAGUAACACGUGGGUAACCUGCCCAUAAGACUGGGAUAACUCCGGGAAACCGGGGCUAAUACCGGAUAACAUUUUGAACCGCAUGGUUCGAAAUUGAAAGGCGGCUUCGGCGGUCACUUAUGGAUGGACCCGCGUCGCAUUAGCUAGUUGGUGAGGUAACGGCUCACAAAGGCAACGAUGCGUAGCCGACCUGAGAGGGUGAGCGGCCACACUGGGACUGAGACACGGCCCAGACUCCUACGGGAGGCAGCAGUAGGGAAUCUUCCGCAAUGGACGAAAGUCUGACGGAGCAACGCCGCGUGAGUGAUGAAGGCUUUCGGGUCGUAAAACUCUGUUGUUAGGGAAGAACAAGUGCUAGUUGAAUAAGCUGGCACCUUGACGGUACCUAACCAGAAAGCCACGGCUAACUACGUGCCAGCAGCCGCCGUAA
rnacentral:rRNA from 1 species